AAACGUGUUAUCUAAAGUUUUGUCACCUUGAAUGGAAUUCAUGCAACACUUAAUAUUAGAAAACUUUUUAUAACAAAAAGGUAUAAUGAGCUUGUAAAAUGCUUCACUGCUUUGUUCUGGCUAAUGCCGCUCCCUCUUUUCAUUCACUCUCUAGCUUGCUCUACCACCACUGCUCACUCACUCUCUUGCUCAUUGAGAUGGAUGGACCAACUUUGAAUGGUGAUGUACACAAAAAAGACUUGUGUGCUGGAGAAACCUCACUGCUAGAUGGGCUCCACUUUAGUAAGCAAAUUAAUGCUGGUGAAAGGGAUUCAUUUCACCAGAGCAGGUGAGAAUCAGUGGAGGUAGAGUCUGAAUGUGACCAGCAGGAGCUUGCAGGAGAGAAGCUGUUCCUCUAUAGGUGAGUGUCUUGUGUCAGCAGAAGAAGAAAGCCACUGGCUUGAUGGUAACCCCCCUCACACACAAAACCCACAUAUUAGCCCCACACCUGACACGUAAUAACACAUAAAACACACAUAACUAUAACUAAU